rnacentral:rRNA from 1 species
GAUGAACGCUGGCGGCGUGCCUAAUACAUGCAAGUCGAACGCACAGCGAAAGGUGCUUGCACCUUUCAAGAGAGAGGCGAACGGGCGAGUAACACGUGGACAACCUGCCCCAAGGCUGGGGCUAACAUAUGGAAACAGAUGCUAAUACCGAAUAAAUCUUAGCGUCGCAUGACACAAAGUCAAAAGGCGCUUUGGCGUCACCUAGAGAUGGAUCCGCGGUGCAUUAGUUAGUUGGUGGGGUAAAGGCCUACCAAGACAAUGAUGCAUAGCCGAGUUGAGAGACUGAUCGGCCACAUUGGGACUGAGACACGGCCCAAACUCCGACGGGGGGCUGCAGUAGGGAAUCUUCCGCGAUGGGCGAAAGCCUGAUGGAGCAACGCCGCGUGUGUGAUGAAGGCUUUCGGGUCGUAAAGCACUGUUGUAUGGGAAGAACAACUGGAAUAGGAAAUGGUUUUAGUUUGACGGUACCAUACCAGAAAGCGACGGCUAAAUACGUG